rnacentral:rRNA from 1 species
AGCGAACGCUGGCGGCAGGCCUAACACAUGCAAGUCGAACGAACCCUUCGGGGUUAGUGGCGGACGGGUGAGUAACACGUGGGAACGUGCCUUUAGGUUCGGAAUAACUCAGGGAAACUUGUGCUAAUACCGAAUGUGCCCUUCGGGGGAAAGAUUUAUCGCCUUUAGAGCGGCCCGCGUCUGAUUAGCUAGUUGGUGGGGUAAAGGCUCACCAAGGCGACGAUCAGUAGCUGGUCUGAGAGGAUGAUCAGCCACAUUGGGACUGAGACACGGCCCAAACUCCUACGGGAGGCAGCAGUGGGGAAUCUUGCGCAAUGGGCGAAAGUCUGACGCAGCCAUGCCGCGUGAAUGAUGAAGGUCUUAGGAUUGUAAAAUUCUUUCACCGGGGACGAUAAUGACGGUACCCGGAGAAGAAGCCCCGGCUAACUUCGUGCCAGCCGCCGCCGUAAAAC